rnacentral:rRNA from 1 species
UGCCCCAGUAACGGCGAGUGAAGCGGCAUCAGCUCAAAUUUGAAAUCUGGCCCCUCCCGGGGCCCGAGUUGUAAUUUGCAGAGGGCGCUUCGGGCGAAGCCCCGGUCCAAGUCCCUUGGAACAGGACGUCAGAGAGGGUGAGAACCCCGUGUCCGACCGGCGGCGCUCCCCGCGUGAAGCCCCUUCGACGAGUCGAGUUGUUUGGGAAUGCAGCUCCAAAUGGGUGGUAAAUUCCAUCUAAAGCUAAAUACCGGCCAGAGACCGAUAGCGCACAAGUAGAGUGAUCGAAAGAUGAAAAGCACUUUGGAAAGAGAGUCAAACAGUACGUGAAAUUGUUGAAAGGGAAGCGCUUGCGGCCAGACUUGCCCGCGGGUGUUCAGCCCGCCCUCGCGGCGGGCGCACUCUCCCGCGGUCAGGCCAGCAUCGGCUCCGGCGGCCGGACAAAGGCCCGGGGAACGUGGCCCCCUCCGGGGGGUGUUAUAGCCCCGGGCGCAAUGCGGCCAGCCGGGGCCGAGGACCGCGCUCUGCUAGGAUGCUGGCGUAAUGGCCGCAAGCGGCCCGUCUUGAAACACGGACCAAGGAGUCUAACGUCCAUGCGAGUGUUCGGGUGUCAAACCCCUGCGCGCAAUGAAAGUGAACGGAGGUGGGAGCCCUCGGGCGCACCAUCGACCGAUCCCGAUGUCUUCGGAAGGAUUUGAGUAAGAGCAUGGCUGUUGGGACCCGAAAGAUGGUGAACUAUGCCUAGAUAGGGUGAAGCCAGAGGAAACUCUGGUGGAGGCUCGCAGCGGUUCUGACGUGCAAAUCGAUCGUCAAAUCUGGGUUUAGGGGCGAAAGACUAAUCGAACCAUUUA